AUCUAUGGUCAUACACCCUGAAAACGCCCAAUCUCGUCUGAUCUCGGAAGCUAAGCAGGGUCGGGCCUGGUUAGUACUUGGACGGGAGACCACGUGGGAAUACCGGGUGCUAUAGGCU
ensembl:rRNA 5S_rRNA 5S ribosomal RNA